ACGUAACAGAGGUGGCCCAUAACUGUCAGAUAAUUGAAAAAUUGGUUUGAGCAAAGAGGCAUCAAGAAUUCCUUUGACACCUGGCAUGAGAUGAUGUAGCUUUGGUUUUGGAAUGAGUUUAUUGAUGAUCAAGGAUGGUUCAAGGCAAAUAGGAUCACAACCUAAGGUACAAGCAGUGGAGGAAGAACAUGGAAAAUGAUGAUCAAUCCCUCAAGAUAUUGCAUAGUGGAGUUCAGAAUUAGGGCAUACAGUGUAUUGUGAAACAAUAUAGCUUCUAUUGUACCUUAUUGUCAUUAUACAAAGAAAUGUAUACUAUUUUGGAGGGAAGUGCUGAUGGAGUAUUGUAAUGCUGAUUUUAUGAACGACGGUGAGCACAGUAGGGCACUCCAUCGGGAUUUGGCCACCGUUUCCGAAUAUCUUCCACAACAUAGACUGGCAUGACCUCUCGAACAUCUUCCACGUAACAUCCCAAUGCUUCCUUCCUAGUCUCCUUCGCAGCUGUCUUUCGGGAUGUCACGCAACGCUCCCCCGAAAGAAACGGCUGCUCUCAUUCGAACCACGUUCCUUUCCCGAUUUUAGCCAAUCACAGCUACAGUUCCAUUUUCUGAAACUGUCGCGCGCGAAAUUUUCUAAAGAUUACUCGACCAAUAAUACUUCUCGUUUUAUCGUUCCACGUUCUCCUGAGAUUACAAAAUCAAGAUGGUGGCCCUUAAUGAAGCUUUUCUUCAAGCAUCGUCAACUUUCAAAAUUGCAAGCUUUGAUUCUUACCAGAACCUUGCGAUUCAAAAGUUUGUCGUCCAGAAGCAAGAUGUAUUAGUAAACCUCCCCACAGGCUUUGGAAAAGC